CCUACGGGUGGCAGCAGUGGGGAAUAUUGCACAAUGGGGGAAACCCUGAUGCAGCAACGCCGCGUGAGUGGGGAAGUAUUUCGGUUUGUAAAGCUCUAUAAGCAGGGAAAAAAAUGACGGUCCCUGCCUAAAAAGCCCCGGAUAACUACGUGCCAGCAGCCGCGGUAAUACGUAGGGGGCAAGCGUUAUCCGGAUUUACUGGGUGUAAAGGGAGCGUAGACGGCUAAUCAAGUCAGAAGUGAAAACCCAGGGCUCAACUUUGGGACUGCUUUUGAAACUGAGUAGCUAGAGUGCAGGAGAGGUAAGCGGAAUUCCUAGUGUAGCGGUGAAAGGCGUAGAUAUUAGGAGGAACACCAGUGGCGAAGGCGGCUUACUGGACUGUAACUGACGUUGAGGCUCGAAAGCGUGGGGAGCAAACAGGAUUAGAUACCCUGGUAGUC
rnacentral:rRNA from 1 species